AUUGAACGCUGGCGGCAGGCCUAACACAUGCAAGUCGAGCGAGCGGCGGACGGGUGAGUAAUGCAUGGGGCCUGCCCGAUAGAGGGGGAUAACUACUGGAAACGGUAGCUAAUACCGCAUACUAUCGGAUAACCCAUAUGGGAUUAGCUAGUAGGUGAGGUAAUGGCUCCCGUAGGCGACGAUCCCUAGCUGGUCUGAGAGGAUGAUCAGCCACACUGGGAGUGAGACACGGCCCAGACUCCUACGGAGGCAGCAGUGGGGAAUAUUGCACAAUGGGCGCAAGCCUGAUGCAGCCAUGCCGCGUGUAUGAAGAAGGCCCUAGGGUUGUAAAGUACGUUUGGCAGAGAAGCGGUAUCUGCAGAAUAAGCACCGGCUAACUACGUGCCAGCAGCCGCGGUAAUAC
rnacentral:rRNA from 1 species